UACAGAGGGUGCGAGCGUUGUCCGGAAUCACUGGGCGUAAAGGGCGCGUAGGCUGCCUGAUAAGUAGGGGGGUGAAAUCCUGUGGCUUAACUGCAGGGCUGCCUCCUAGACUGUUAGGCUCGAGCACGGUAGAGGCAGAUGGAAUUCCCGGUGUAGCGGUGGAAUGCGUAGAGAUCGGGAAGAACAUCGGUGGCGAAGGCGGUCUGCUGGGCCGUUGCUGACGCUGAGGCGCGACAGCGUGGGGGAGCAAACAGG
rnacentral:rRNA from 1 species